rnacentral:misc_RNA from 1 species
GAUGAAGAACGUAGCGAAAUGCGAUAAGUAGUGUGAAUUGCAGAAUUCAGUGAAUCAUCGAAUCUUUGAACGCACAUUGCGCCCCUUGGUAUUCCAUGGGGCAUGCUUGUUCGAGCGUCAUUUGUACUCUCAAGCUCUGCUUGGUGUUGGGUGUUUGUCCUUUCCCUGCGUUAGGACUCGCCUCAAAUUCAUUGGCAGCCGAUAUAUUGGUUUGAAGCGCAGCACAAUUUGCGAUUCGGGCUGGUUAUUGUUGGCGUCCAGUAAGCACAUUUAACACUUUUGACCUCGGAUCAAGUAGGGAUACCCGCUGAACUUAAGCAUAUCAAUAAGCGGAGGGA